GCCGGCAUAGCUCAGUGGUAGAGCAACUGUUUUGUAAACAGGUGGUCGCGGGUUCAAAUACUGCUGCCGGCU
rnacentral:tRNA from 1 species